UACAGAGGGGGCAAGCGUUGUUCGGAAUUACUGGGCGUAAAGGGCGCGUAGGCGGCCUUCUAAGUCGAACGUGAAAUCCCCGGGCUCAACCCGGGAACUGCGUCCGAUACUGGAAGGCUUGAAUCCGGGAGAGGGAUGCGGAAUUCCAGGUGUAGCGGUGAAAUGCGUAGAUAUCUGGAGGAACACCGGUGGCGAAGGCGGGUCUCUGGGCCGAUAUCGACGCUGAGGAGCGAAAGCGUGGGGAGCGAACAGG
rnacentral:rRNA from 1 species